GCCGGGCGUGGUGGCUCACGCCUGUAAUCCCAGCACUUUGGGAGGCUGAGACGGGCGGAUUACCUGAGGUCAGGAGUUCGAGACCAGCCUGGCUAACAUGGUGAAACCCCGUCUCUA
rnacentral:SRP_RNA from 1 species